rnacentral:rRNA from 1 species
UACACUCCUGCGGGAGGCAGCAGUGGGGAAUAUUGGACAAUGGGCGCAAGCCUGAUCCAGCCAUGCCGCGUGAGUGAUGAAGGCCCUAGGGUUGUAAAGCUCUUUCACCGGUGAAGAUAAUGACGGUAACCGGAGAAGAAGCCCCGGCUAACUUCGUGCCAGCAGCCGCGGUAAUACGAAGGGGGCUAGCGUUGUUCGGAUUUACUGGGCGUAAAGCGCACGUAGGCGGACUAUUAAGUCAGGGGUGAAAUCCCGGGGCUCAACCCCGGAACUGCCUUUGAUACUGGUAGUCUUGAGUUCGAGAGAGGUGAUUGGAAUUCCGAGUGUAGAGGUGAAAUUCGUAGAUAUUCGGAGGAACACCAGUGGCGAAGGCGGCUCACUGGCUCGAUACUGACGCUGAGGUGCGAAAGCGUGGGGAGCAAACAGGAUUAGAAACCCCUGUAGUCCCAUGA